CAGUCGCCGCGGUAAUACGUAGGCGGCAAGCGUUGUCCGGAAUUAUUGGGCGUAAAGGGCUCGCAGGCGGUUUCUUAAGUCUGAUGUGAAAGCCCCCGGCUCAACCGGGGAGGGUCAUUGGAAACUGGGAAACUUGAGUGCAGAAGAGGAGAGUGGAAUUUCACGUGUAGCGGUGAAAUGCGUAGAGAUGUGGAGGAACACCAGUGGCGAAGGCGACUCUCUGGUCUGUAACUGACGCUGAGGAGCGAAAGCGUGGGGAGCGAACAGGAUUAGAUACCCCUGUAGUCCCUGUCUCUUAUAC
rnacentral:rRNA from 1 species